rnacentral:misc_RNA from 1 species
UUUCGUUCACUCGCUCGUUCCUGCUUCCUUUGGCGCGCUGGCCUUCAGACGGAGGGGCCUCGGGAGGGUUGGUCCGCAUUGUCUGCUCGGGGACCUCCCCCGGGGCUCUCCCCGGGGAAGCAACAGGGAUGUGUACGCAGAGAGUGGGGUUCGGGGAUCGGCGGGGGCGGUGCGGUAGUUGAUCGCCGCCUGGCGGCCGGGCGAGCUUCCGCGCCCUGGGGCGUAGGUAGACGUCCACCCCCCCCCCUCCUUUUCAGGUUGCUUGAAUCUGUUCUAGUAAUGAUCCUUCCGCAGGUUCACCUACGGAAA